rnacentral:rRNA from 1 species
AUGACGAGCCACCACACGUGGUUCCAAUCCUCUACUCCGAGUCAGCCGAGAGCCACCGAGCUGUUUUCGUGUCAAACUGCCUCAGACUCUGCUCCAAACAACCGGACGUCGCAAGUCCCCAGCUGCGUUUCCACCGUAGACUCACCUCCGCGGCGAGUCACCACGCCGGCCUUGCCUGGUUGCCUCCGUCUCCGCCGUGGCGCGGCGAGCCGCCCCUGCCCGCGCGGACCUCCAAGCCGGCAACCCCGAGCCGCCGAGGCCACCACCGCCGCGGGUUGGAGCACUGCUGCCGUCCACCAGAGACGCCGACGCCAAACUCAAAGACCGUAG